GACGAACGCUGGCGGCAUGCCUAACACAUGCAAGUCGAGCGAAUAGAUCCCUUCGGGGUGAAGCUAGCGGCGGACGGGUGAGUAACACGUGGGCAACCUGCAUCAUAGAGGGGAAUAGCCUUCCGAAAGGAAGAUUAAUACCGCAUAAGAUUGUAGUACCGCAUGGUAUAGCAAUUAAAGGAGCAAUCCGAUAUGAGAUGGGCCCGCGGCGCAUUAGCUAGUUGGUGAGGUAACGGCUCACCAAGGCGACGAUGCGUAGCCGACCUGAGAGGGUGAUCGGCCACAUUGGGACUGAGACACGGCCCAGACUCCUACGGGAGGCAGCAGUGGGGAAUAUUGCACAAUGGGGGAAACCCUGAUGCAGCAAUGCCGCGUGAGUGAUGACGGCCUUCGGGUUGUAAAGCUCUGUCUUCGGGGACGAUAAUGACGGUACCCGAGGAGGAAGCCACGGCUAGCUACGUGCCAGCCGCCGCCGUAA
rnacentral:rRNA from 1 species